CGGGUUAGUAACGCGUGGGAAUAUGCCCUUCACUACGGAAUAGCCUCGGGAAACUGAGAGUAAUACCGUAUACGCCCUUCGGGGGAAAGAUUUAUCGGUGAAGGAUUAGCCCGCGUCUGAUUAGAUAGUUGGUGGGGUAACGGCCUACCAAGUCGACGAUCAGUAGCUGGUUUGAGAGGAUGAUCAGCAACACUGGGACUGAGACACGGCCCAGACUCCUACGGGAGGCAGCAGUGGGGAAUCUUAGACAAUGGGCGCAAGCCUGAUCUAGCCAUGCCGCGUGAGUGACGAAGGCCUUAGGGUCGUAAAGCUCUUUCGCCAGGGAUGAUAAUGACAGUACCUGGUAAAGAAACCCCGGCUAACUCCGUGCCAGCAGCCGCGGUAAUACGGAGGGGGUUAGCGUUGUUCGGAAUUACUGGGCGUAAAGCGCGCGUAGGCGGAUUGGAAAGUUGGGGGUGAAAUCCCAGGGCUCAACCCUGGAACUGCCUCCAAAACUAUCAGUCUAGAGUUCGAGAGAGGUGAGUGGAAUUCCGAGUGUAGAGGUGAAAUUCGUAGAUAUUCGGAGGAACACCAGUGGCGAAGGCGGCUCACUGGCUCGAUACUGACGCUGAGGUGCGAAAGUGUGGGGAGCAAACAGGAUUAGAUACCCUGGUAGUCCACACCGUAAACGAUGAAUGCCAGACGUCAGGGGGUUUUACCCUUUGGUGUCACACCUAACGGAUUAAGCAUUCCGCCUGGGGAGUACGGUCGC
rnacentral:rRNA from 1 species